AAUAAAUAAAAUCUUAAAAAAAAAAAAAAAGACAAAGACUCAUGGCCAGGACUAGAUGCAGCAUUCCAGUGGGGUCCACAUGAUAGAAGAGAGCAGGAUCAUCAGUUGCCUUCAUAAUUCCAAAUAUCAUACUUCCAUUGAUCCCUUCUAACAUACUUUUUUUUUUUUUAAUAUUCUAACUAAAAGGCAGGGCUGAAUACAGAGCCCUGGAACAGUGAAAACACCCUCUAAGUUGACUUGGAUCCUUUUAAAUACUGUCAUUGUGCCAAGCAGGGUUUUUGACUACAAACCGGUCAAUAACACCAUAGCUCUGCCAUGGCCACCGCUGCCAGUGAAUACUCACCACCACCACUUCAAGACUGUUCAAGCUGCUGCUUCUGUCACUAUGAAUACUUUCCACACUACCCUUGCUUCUUAGCAUCCUUCCCUAAAAAUUAAAAGUCCUUGGUGAGAGUGGCUGGGCUCAAUUCACGCACUUGAGUCCUAGCUGCUAGGAAGUAAAAAGGAGAAUCUUCUUUCUGCUUCCAUGGUGAGAUCCAGUGCACUACAGCCCUCCAAUAUUAUAUUAUUUUCAGAAAAUUAUUCUGGAAUAAGGGAUUGCAUACUGAGUGGACAAAUAUGAUGACAAAGGUCCACUCCACUCAUUUGGUAGGUUACUUUUCCUCUUAAUUGUACUGCCAUCCAACCCAUUUCCCACAUUUUAUCCACAAGAAUAUCAUGGCAGAGAUUGUUAAAGGCCUUGCUGAAGACCCAGUUUGCCAACAGACAGACUAUCAAGUACAUCUCUGUGAUCUGUCAGUUCAGGGACCUGCCAUAAAAGGAAAUUUGAUUGCCCUGGCCCUGACUUAUUCUGAGGAAUCUAUGCUUCCUUUAUAUCUUUAAAAAUCUAUUCUCGGUGUUAGAAUCUAACUCUCCAUGGUUGGAAAAAGCCCAGAUGUACAUUUUAUAAAAUAACUGGUCUGUAAUCUUCAGUAUGUCAAGGUCACUGAAGACUAGAAAAGAUGUUAUUGCUGCUCCCAAGUGAAAGAGAGUAAAAAGGUAUUAUGACUAUAUGCAACAGGUGACUCUUAACUAUAUCCUUCUGUUUUAAAGGACAGGAUUGAGAUAAGUGGCAAACUUAAUUGGGAUUUGAGGACCAGAUGGAAGGAUACCAUCUGUCUCAUCAUAUGGAAAACAAACAGGGCAACAAAACAGGUGUACCAUACAAGGUAGGAGCAAUCUCUAUUCUCACAGAGGUAUAGAGAGAAGGUUAUAAAUAUUGAAGGGGGAAAAACAGAGGUUAAUUUUACUUGGAAGAACAAGGAAAUCUUCAUGGGGUUUAGGGAGAUGCAUUAGACCUGGACCUGGGAUGAAGUCUGCAAAUGCACCCCUAGUGUGCACUUCAUCCUCACCCUUCCCUGCUGUCCACACUCAUUCAGUGUGGUGCCUAUGGCAGAUUUUGCUAACAGAUUCUUUUACUCUUUCCCUAAUCCCAGGUAUAUCCACAGAAUCCUUCUUGACAGAGCACACAGCCAGAUGAUCAGAGCAGGCCCAUGAGCAAAGAAAGGCAUUUGCUCAUCACACCUGGGAGGGUGUAUACAAUUGAGACAUGCAGAGCUCACCGACAGAAGGAACAAGAGUGAGGAAAGGCACAAUGCUGGGGAGAGACUGAAUGUGUAUGACGAAGGAGUCUCAGCCAACUCAGAAGGAUAGAGAGAAAAUUUUGAGGAUGGGAUCGCUGAAACCCUGCCCUGAUGAAAUACUGGGAAAACUGGCAGAAGGGUGUGCUCUGCUCAGCAAGCCCUGACUCCCACAGCAUGGACGGCUUCUCCAGUAUCCAGCUCCUGCAAUGCAAGUGACUUCUCUAACAUCAAGUUCCUGCAGGACAGAUGGUGUCUUCAGCAUCAGCUCCUGCAGUGCAUGGUGGCCAGCAUCAUCCAAAGGCCUCCAGAUUUCCCUGGCACUCUCCUCUACUCCCUUUUGUAGAGCAAUGAUACCAGUGAAUACAUCCCAAGCACAUUCUGCCAGUGCAGCACCAUUGUGAUGUCUCUACUGUCCAAUGAACCACAGUCACACCCCCUCUGACAAGGUCUAGAUCACAGCUCUGGGAGUGGGGGUGGGAAGCCCUGCCCUAGACAAUCUGUCUCCAUUCAAAGAGAAUUUAACUAAGACAAGCUGACUCUGAAGGACAUUGCACCUCCUCUCAUGAUAUAUUAAUUUCAUUAGAACAUUCCAAGAGAUAUCCCCUUUUGAAACAUUAUUUAUAAAAGUGAAAAUGAGACUUAUAAGUCCAAUAAUAGAUACAUUUUGAAAAUUACUAAUGUGCAUGUUUCUUUCAUCUUUUCCCUUUUCUGUG